UUACCCCUCUUCCUCUUUCUCUCAACCUCUCUCCAAUGCUUUCCUUUGUUUCUACUUAGAUUCAAAGCAAGAUAAUGUUUCAUUAGGGUUGGAGAUAUUCUUAUCACUUGAUGGACUUCCGACUAGGAAAUCCAUUUGUGUUAUAUUUUUUGGAUUCUAAGUUUUUAUAGGAAGUAGUGGUAACAAUGAGAAACCAACAGACCUAAAUUUUGGGUCUCUUUCCCAAAUCAGUAAGUUUUAAGCAAUUGUUUUUUUAAUGACUUCUUAAGAUUAUUUUUGUUUUGGGUUGUUAAAAUUAGAUUGUUCUGAUUGUAAUGAUUCGGUUUCAAGGAUUUUGUUAGUAUCCAUGAGAAAAUUUAUGGACGCUCAUUAAGUGUUUGGCAUAAUUAGUUCUAAAAUUCCGAAAUAAUUAUUGGCCUUAUUGGGUUGAGAAAGAUUUUAUUGCAGAAAAUGCAUUUGAUCUGUUUGAUGAUAUAUUUUUAAUGGUAAAUUUGUGUGUCAUCUCGCUAAUACGAGAUCCGGAGUAACACCAUUCCCAAAUCAUUUGCAGUUCAUUACAUCUGAAUUAAAGGCAAAGUGCAUGUGGAGAAAAGCACCUAACAACUACCAUCUUCAUUAAAAAGUUUAAAGUGCACAGUAGUCUUUUGUGGUGGACUACUGUGCAGACAGUACGUGUUUGUAUCCUAGGUGGUAUAUGCUUGAUUUGGGUUAGCAUCACUGUGAAGAUGGACUAUAUGUAACUUGCUUUUCCAUGUUGUAUGCCAAGCAGCCAAUUCCAGAACGUCAAGCCAUGCAUAGAUAAAUUGGUAUGUGAACUCCGGUGACAGACUAAAGAAAAUACUGUGAUUGUUGGUUAUGGACAGGAUGGAACAUCAAUGUCGCCUCAAGUACAGACUGCAGCAUGGCUUCUCAUAUUUCAGCAGUCUGGAAACUUUACCAGCAACAUGCAACUAUGGGACUUGAGUAGUUUAUUUUACAUUGAGUGAGGUUUCUAAAGCCUGAAAUGUAGACUCCUCCAUGAAUACUUAUGUUUUAUGUAUGGAUGAAGAGCACGAAGAUUGGUUGUCUAAGUCUCAAUAAGUCGGUGUAGCUAUAGUAUUGUAUGAACUCAAAUAACAAGUGCAACGCACAUGCACUUUACUAGUUUACUAGAUGUUAAGACCUUUGAAGAAUUCUUUAUCGUCCCCGAACUCAAGGUUCAUGAAGAUAGGAGUUAAUAUUAAUAAACCUUCUUGAUU